UCAAGCGAACAAGGGCGCAGGGCGAAUGCCUUGGCACUGGGAGCCGAUGAAAGACGUGAUAAGCUGCGAUAAGCUUCGGGGAGCUGCAAAUAAGCAUUGAUCCGGAGAUUUCUGAAUGAGGAAACUCACCUGGGUUCAUACUCAGGUACGUUAUACUGAACUUCAAAAUAGGUAUAUCGAGGGAACCGCCUGAACUGAAACAUCUAAGUAGGGCGAGGAAGAGACAUCAAACGAGAUUCCGUAAGUAGUGGCGAGCGAACGCGGAAGAGGGCAAACCGAGAGGAGAAAUCCUUUCGGGGUACGGACUGCUUUUAAGACUGGAAGAGUUAACAGAAUGGCAUGGGAAGGCCAACCGAAGAGUGUGAGAGUCACGUAAGUAAAAAUUCUGACAGCUGCGCAGGAUCCAGAGUACGGCCAGACACGUGAAACCUGGUCGGAAUAUGGGGGGACCACCCUCCAACCCUAAAUACUACCCAGUGACCGAUAGCGUAUAGUACUGUGAAGGAAAGGUGAAAAGCACCCCGGGAGGGGAGUGAAAAAGAACCUGAAACCCUGUGCCUACAAGCACCUAGAGCGCGUCAAUGCGUGAUAGGGUACUUUUUGUAGAACGGUCCGGCGAGCGAUUGUAUGCAGCAAGGUUAAGGACUUAAGGUCUGGAGCCGAAGCGAAAGCGAGUUUGAAAAGGGCGUUAAGUUGCAUAUAAUGGGCCCGAAACCGGGUGACCUACCCAUGGUCAGGUUGAAGUGGAAGUAAAAUUCCAUGGAGGACCGAACCGACCUCCGUUGAAAAGGCGGCGGAUGAACUGUGGGUAGCGGAGAAAUUCCAAUCGAACCCGGAGAUAGCUGGUUCUCCCCGAAAUAGUUUUAGGACUAGCCUCAAGUUAGAUACCUGGAGGUAAAGCACUGAAUAGCCUAGCGGCCGAGAGGUUAGCGAAGCUUAUCAAACUCAGAAUGCCAGAGUAUUGAUGCUUGGGAGUCAGACAGUGUCAGAUAAAUGUCAUUGUCAAAAGGGAAACAGCCCAGAUCUACAGCUAAGGUCCCAAAGUCAGGUUAAGUGGAAAACGAUGUGAAGAUACGUAGACAACCAGGAUGUUGGCUCAGAAGCAGCCACUCAUUCAAAGAGUGCGUAAUAGCUCACUGGUCGAGCGUCUUUGCGCGGAGAAUUUAACGGGGCUAAACCUGACACCGAAGCUUAGGCAGCAUGUUUACAUGCUGGGUAGGGGAGCGUUGUAUACGCGGUGAAACAGUAGCGCAAGCGGCUGUGGAGUGUAUAGAAGUGAGAAUGCCGGAAUGAGUAGCGCGAAUGCAGUGAGAAUCUGCAUGGCCGAAAGCCUCAGGUUUCUGGAGGAAGGUUCGUCCGCUCCAGGUUAGUCGGGAGCUAAGGUGAGGCCUAACGGCGUAGCCGAUGCACAGACGGUAGAGAUUCCGUCACCACCAAAAGAGUUAAACACAGGGACACAUUUGAAGUCUCGGAGCCGGGUGUUGGUUCCGGUAGCGAUCGAGGGAAAUUAGUACCGAAGUCCGGGAUGGAAGAUGGCGAGAAAAGCUGUGUGUAUUUCUGCGGUGCCCGUACCGCAAACCGACACAGGUAGGUAGGAAGAAGAUUCUAAGGCCAACGGGAGAAGGGUUGUUAAGGAACUCGGCAAAUUGACCCCGUAACUUCGGGAGAAGGGGUGCUGCAGCAAUGCAGCCGCAGAGAAUCGGCCCAAGCAACUGUUUACCAAAAACACAGGUUUGUGCUAAAUCGAAAGAUGACGUAUACGAGCUGACGCCUGCCCGGUGCUGGAAGGUUAAGAGGAGAUGUGCAAGCAUUGAAUCGAAGCCCCAGUGAACGGCGGCCGUAACUAUAACGGUCCUAAGGUAGCGAAAUUCCUUGUCAGGUAAGUUCUGACCCGCACGAAAGGCGUAAUGAUUUGGGCACUGUCUCAACAGCCCGCCCGGCGAAAUUGUAGUACCGGUGAAGAUGCCGGUUACCCGCGACAAGACGGAAAGACCCCAUGGAGCUUUACUGUAGCCUAAUAUUGGGUUUCGAUGUUGCAUGCACAGGAUAGAUGGGACACUGGGAAGCAGGUGCUUUGGCGCUUGUGGAGUGGCCGUUGGGAUACCAUCCUUGCGAUAUUGGAAUUCUAACCUGCGCCUUUGAAUCAAGGCGGGGGACAUUGUUAGGUGGGCAGUUUGACUGGGGCGGUCGCCUCCUAAAGAGUAACGGAGGCGUUCAAAGGUUCGCUCAGCUUGAACGGAAAUCAAGCAAAAGAGUGCAAACGCAGAAGCGAGCCUAACUGCGAGACUGACGGGUCGAGCAGUAACGAAAGUUGGAGUUAGUGAUCCGGUGGUAUGUGAGUGGAAAUGCCAUCGCUCAACGGAUAAAAGCUACCCUGGGGAUAACAGGCUGAUCUCCCCCAAGAGUCCACAUCGACGGGGAGGUUUGGCACCUCGAUGUCGGCUCAUCGCAUCCUGGGGCUGUAUUCGGUCCCAAGGGUUUGGCUGUUCGCCAAUUAAAGCGGUACGCGAGCUGGGUUCAGAACGUCGUGAGACAGUUCGGUCCCUAUCUGUCGUGGGCGCAGGAUAUUUGAUGGGAGCUGUUCCUAGUACGAGAGGACCGGAGCGGACGUACCUCUGGCGCACCAGUUGUUCUGCCAAGAGCAUAGCUGGGCAACUAUGUACGGAUCGGAUAAACGCUGAAAGCAUCUAAGCGUGAAGCCGACCCAAAGAUAAGAUAUCCCAUUGUUUCAAACAAGUAAGACCCCUUGAAGACUACAAGGUUGAUAGGCACGAUGUGUAAGUGGAGCGAUCCAUUCAGCAAGCGUGUACUAAUAGGUCGAGGGCUUGACCAC
rnacentral:rRNA from 1 species